UACGUAGGGGGCAAGCGUUGUCCGGAUUUAUUGGGCGUAAAGAGCGUGUAGGCGGCUAAAUAGGUCCGUUGUGAAAACUCGAGGCUCAACCUCGAGAUGCCGAUGGAAACCAUUUGGCUAGAGUCCGGAAGAGGAAAGUGGAAUUCCUGGUGUAGCGGUGAAAUGCGCAGAUAUCAGGAAGAACACCAAUGGCGAAAGCAGCUUUCUGGGACGGUACUGACGCUGAGACGCGAAAGCGUGGGGAGCGAACAGG
rnacentral:rRNA from 1 species